AGCGAACGCUGGCGGCAGGCUUAACACAUGCAAGUCGAGCGGACCUUUCGGGGUCAGCGGCGGACGGGUGAGUAACGCGUGGGAACGUGCCUUCCGGUUCGGAAUAACCCUGGGAAACUAGGGCUAAUACCGGAUACGCCCUUAUGGGGAAGGGUUUACUGCCGGAAGAUCGGUCCGCGUCUGAUUAGCUAGUUGGUGGGGUAACGGCCUACCAAGGCGACGAUCAGUAGCUGGUCUGAGAGGAUGAUCAGCCACACUGGGACUGAGACACGGCCCAGACUCCUACGGGAGGCAGCAGUGGGGAAUAUUGGACAAUGGGCGCAAGCCUGAUCCAGCCAUGCCGCGUGAGUGAUGAAGGCCUUAGGGUUGUAAAGCUCUUUUAUCCGGGACGAUAAUGACGGUACCGGAGGAAUAAGCCCCGGCUAACUUCGUG
rnacentral:rRNA from 1 species